AAUUAAGUGACACCAUCCAACCGACUAAACUCUACUCGCUCACAGCGGCUUCCUGAAGCAGGCACAACACAUGAGAGAAAGAGUGCAAGCUACUAAAUUUGGUCAAGAUUACCCAUCUCUUAGGAUUGCGUGGAAAGUCUCCUGAACCAACUAAUAGCUCUUCAUGGUGCUAUUCUGGAUGUCUUCUCUCGGACUGGCCCAGUUCGAUUCCACUCCUGGAAGUUCUCAGAUAAGCUUUCAUUCGAUCUGGACCUGGUGCCACAAUUAGAACAACACGACGUUGUUGAUGGGGAGGUGGAGUUCAAUCAGCAUUCACAUUGUUUUGCUGAAUUUGGUGAUUUAAGUGAUAAUGCCCGAGAAGACGGUGUUUUGAGGAUAUAUUGACACGGGUGUUGUUAGUAGAGGGCCAGCAAACCGUGACAUAUAUCCUCCAAACACUGGCUUCGAGGGCAUUACCACUUUUAUACGGGUCACCAACAUAUUAAAAUAAUGAUUUACAUAUUUUCAUUACAAACGUUUUUUUUUAAAUAAAUGUAUUCAUACAAUUUCAUCCUUACACAAUAUAUAGAUAGUCCCGACACAAAUCGGGACUAUAUAUGCUACUCAAACUGGCUGGUCGUUUAUUCAAUCGGUUCGUUUGCCAGAGACGCGACCCAGUAUUUUUGUUCUGUAUCUAUGGACGAGACCCAGUCGUUCGUUCCAAAUGUUCCAUUGCCAUACUAGCUGGCAACGUUAUUAUCCUUUUCCUUCUAGCUAGCCAACUACGUCUAAUUCAGUCAUGUCAAAAAAUUGCAUUCAGAAUAACAGAAUAAGUAGCUACAUUUGCAUUUGUUUACGCUGUUUUGUGGAGACAUACAUAACAAUGAGUUAAUGAGGCGCGAUUUCGUCUCAUAGAAAAUGUGCUCAUUUGUCAGGACACCGUUAUUUAGAGCAACUGAAGCUGGAAAGACUGCAAACUAAAUGCACUUCGUUUCGUUUGACCUUUUUUCAAUUUACAUUUCUUUGUAUAUAUAUAUCCAUAAAAAUGAAGCCCGCUGUUUCAUGAUUUCGACUGGCUGAGAAACGCUGUCUGUCUGUCUUCUCCCAACUCGUUCAUUACUAUGGGACAGCUGGAGAUCGAAUUUGAAUAUUGAAACAAUUUGGCAAAUGUCAGCGAGACAGACCGCAAGGUUUAUACAAAUCAUACUGUUGAAACUAAAUGUUAGUCUAAAAGAAAUGUGAGAUAAUGUCUAGAUGCUUUUUAUAGUGGAGAUCAAGUUUAUAAAUUGCUUGGCUGGGCUGAUGAGCCAGUGGAUUGUGCAGUCUGAUGGAACAGAGUAAAUAGGCAUUUUUAACUUCAUAGAUUAGCCAGUGGUAAAUUGUGGAAUUCGACACCAUCUGAAAUGCGGAUUUAACCAAUCUGCAUUCAGGAUUAGACCCACCCGUAGCUAGAGAAUAGUUGGAAAUUAACGAUACAUGACUGUAAUCCAUUUAUUUACCCUAGAUUACUACUCCUGCUGCAAAGUUUCAGUGCAUAUGCAGAGCAGUUGAAGUUUGGACAGAAAGAAAACAUGAAGAAAACAGCUCCAUGUGUAUCAAUUGGCCUUGUAGUUGGACACUAUUGGAAUAACUUUAUCCAGAUUGGCAACCAGAGUGAGUUUUUAAAGCACUCCUGGUGUUUAGUUUUUUUUUCUUCCCAUAAAAUGUAUAUUUUAUGACCAUGUUGUUCCCUCUUAUUCAGAGCAUGAAGCAAGAUAUUCAAGAAUUUAUCAAAACUCCAAAGUGUGAGGAAAACACCACUUUCUCUUUAGCAUCCUCACUCCUGACCACAAAAAGAGAUAUUUGUCCACAGUCUCCAUCCGUAGUGUCUCAGCACUGUACUUCAAGAACAACAGCAAGCACUCCAUUCCUCCACAGACAAUAGCAAAUGGUGGCCCCUCCUGUCCUACUCGCAGAACAGAAAGCAUCAUCCCCUCCUGCCUUUCCCCUAUAUCCACAGACACUCAUAAUGUAAGUUGCCAGACAGUCCUCCCUUGUCCCCUGUGAUGCCUGUGCUCAGGUCCAGUCCAGCCUGAGGGAGACUGGUGAUGCUCUUGUGGAGCUGUGUUGGAGCGAGGGCCUUCCCACCUCUCUGCAGCGCCUCCUGGUGGCUAUGGGUGGCUAUGGAUGACACUAUGUAGCAGGGCCGUCUGACUGUAGGAGAUGUGUCCCAGUGGUCCACAGAGCAGCACAGGGACAUGGGUCAGGUGGGAAAGCAUCUGCUGAAGGUGCAGUCCACAGUGCAGGGCUCAGCUGGGGGAGGGAACAGGAGGAACUAAAGCGUGAAUGGGCAAAGGACCAAGCAAGACUGUAGGAGGCCCAGGCAUCCAGGAAGGAGACAGAGAGGAGACUGCAGGACGAACAUGAGGAGCCGAGGUGAGGCUCCAUGUCCCUGGAGAAUAGCAACUCCAAACUGAAGGCAGAGAUUAUUUUGCAACAAAAAAGGUUACACAAACUCGAGUGUGAGAGAGAUAAGCUACAUCAGGAAGUGAAGGUCUUGCAGGUAGAGGAAGAGGCACGGAAUAAACAAGAGGAGAAGACACAAACACUGGAGGCUCAACUGUCCAGUACUCAGCUCUUACUUGACAAAGAGAACUCCAAGUACCAGAAUGCAUGUCACCAACAGGAGUCACUGCAGGCCAAGCAGAUGUCUCUAUUAGAGAGAGUGGAUGCUCUGGACCAGGAGUGUGAGAAGCUUCAAGGACAGUUGGGGGAGACUGAGGACACACAGACAGGCCUACAGGAUAGACUGACACACAUCUCAGAGAAGAAGGACCAACUUAAAACCCAGCUCACCCAAUAACAAUCCCUGAGGCCUUGUGUUCUGAGCUGCAGCAGGAGAAGCAGAGAUUGGAGAGUCAUGUGAACAAGCCGAAAGACAGUUUGGAUCAGCUAAGAGGAGAGGUGCAGGAGUUAGCACAGAGGAAGAGGCUGCUGGUGGCAUUCCCAGAGCUCAACCCACUGCCUCAGGGACCGCCACAGAGUAGGAUCACUUCCCUAGCAUUUUCUAUAACCUCUCUCAGCAGCUUUGGAUUCUCCCAGUCUGCCUGACGCUCCCAGAGAGAGACAGCUAAAUCCCAUGCCCUACGUACAACACAGCCCUCUACAGACCUCCAGUGCAGGAGUGUUGAAACAUUGAUUGUGGAGGAAGGGAGCAGACAAAGGGGAUUCCAUCCCUGUGGUGAUGGGGCCUUGGGAUCACGUCUCUGCCACCUUCCUCUCCCCAGACACCAGCGCAGCCAGAGCCUAAGCAAAGAUACGCCAGGCGUCCCAAACAUGCUCUCUCUCCAGAGGAAGAAAUACAUCCAGCACUGGGUGAUCAACCUCAUGUUGACAAUUUUUGGAGCAUAGUAAUGCCGAAAGAGGCUGAGGCAGAAAGAGGCUGUUAGAAGUAUAUGUCAGGCUUCUCCAUCAGAAGACUGCAGUAAAGGCAUUGCAUUGUAGCUCAUACACAUAGUUGUUUGUGUAUCAGCUGAGGCAGAUGCAGAAAAUUUAUGGCGUUCAAGAUCUUGGCAACAUUGAGCUGGCUUGAAGUUGCUAUUUAACUGAAAAUUAAUUUGAUUAAUUCACAAACUGGUAUCAUGUUUUUCUUUCUUGAACUGUUGUGUUAAUCACUUUGCUACUUUGGAUUGCAAAUGUGCAUUUGUUGACUUCAUGCAUUUAGAAAAAGUUUUACCUAGUUUAGAAUGGUAAAAUAAGACAGCAUAACGAGCCUAUCAAAGCACAUUCAUUAUUAACUCAUAAAGAAUCUGGUCAUGCACAAAACACACACUAAAAAUAAGUGUCUUAAAAUGAUCAGUCUAGAAAAGGGAGAGGCUAGGUAAAAGACAAGCCAUGGUGUGUCUGUGUGUUUAGCUAAGUGUGUGGUCUUCUAAAGGCUCUACUAUUGUGUCACCAACACAAUGCCACGAAUGCAGAUGUGUCUAAUGAUUUACAGAGUACUCUGACGAGGGAGGGGUAAGUUCCUAUGGCAACAUUGAUGAUCAGAGCAUGACAUCUUGUGUGGGUUCCCUCCUGUCCUUACUGUCAGUCCAACCCUUCACCUAUUGAGGAGUAUACUUGAUGGUAGACCAACCAAUUCAUUGUGAAGUAUGCUUCCCAUGGCUUGUUAGGGUGCAAUAUUUUUGUCCUUUGUUUGUAUUUCCUUGCACUAGAAAUGCCAAAUUACUUUUCUAAAGGUGGGUUGUAGUCAUGGAGAUACCUGUGAAAAGCCCCGUAGAUCCAGACUGGAUAUUGACUACACCUGAAACUAAGCAAUUCAAGCCCAUAUUAUUGUUCAUGCCUGUUCAUAUGUUUCUGCAUGAGUUCAGUGGUAGCACAAUACUGGGUUUCAUUUUCAGGGAUAUACCUAGAUACUGAAGUAUUUGCGGAAUGCAGAUGUACUAAUGAAAUCAAUAAUUUCUUCGCCCACUAACUCACGAAUCCUUCUCCUCAGAGACAAACUUGCUUGAUCAAGUCUAACCUUGGACCUCAGAGUUCAGUCUUUCAGUUGAGCCAAUUAUACAGCUGUGUCAUCCCUCAAGCAUGUAAUUGAGAUGUGCCCCCCCCCAUAUAAUGAAUGUAUUGUCUAUGGUAUGCUUGUCUCAUGAUUGACAGACUGAUUUAGCCUAAUUGUUAAAUUGUUGCAUGGAGUAUAAAAACAAAAUAUUGCAGACAUUAUUUAUCUGAAAAUGUCAAAUGGCGCAUUGUACAAUCAAUUUAGUUAUUUUAAUAGUAUGCUACCCUGUAAAAAUAACAAUAUUCAGAAUGCUGCUUCAAAACAUUUAUUUGUCACAAAAUAACUUAUUUUAGACUAUACAACAAAAAGACAUUUGGAUGUGAAAGUAUAGAGUACAUAGGUACAGUCAGACCUCAUAUCGCACUGUGCUUACUGGUACACAAAAGACAAAGAACGUUACUCAUAUAGGUGAGGACAUGUUCAGCUUGCCAAAAGCACCAGUGUCAACACCUGCAACUUGCCCCCACAGGAAAAAGAGAGACACGGUGGAAGGACACACAGUCAUUUGCAGUUAGAAACUUAAACAAUGUGCAAAGUUGUACAAAAAUCCAUUUAAUAUUUUUGGUAUCCCUGCAUCCAAUAACAUUAGAUUAUUUCAAAGGUUAUAUCUGUUCAAAUCAAUUGAAUGUUAUAUAGUCAUUUACGAUAUAAUAUCCUAUGAGUAAAUUCUGAGAUUAUAACAGGGAAAACUACUUGGAUAGAG